UAUUGUCAUGAAUGUACAUCGCUUGUUUGUUGAUGAAACAUUAAAACACGAAUCUUUGCAAGAUUUAGUGAUACAUUUUUUUUAUAAGGGCCAAAUCUGGAAUGAUUUGAAAAGAACUCUUAUGAAAUAUCCGAAUCUCAAACAUUUCAGUUUGAGCACAGAGUACAUGACAGAUGAAUAUAUCGAGCAAUUGGUUCACAUUUUACCCAAUCUGGUUAUAUUUGAUGUUCGCGGAUGUCGUGGAGUCACUCAAAGAGCUGCUAGUUAUGUCCAGAAUUAUUUUGAACGAAAUGGAAGAUCAACCAAAUUUUACUUCAAUGGGAAUCGGCAUGAGAUCAAGUCAGAUUGGCCGCAGUUAUACACUAACUCAUCGAAAAUUUGCCGAGGCUUUGAUUUCAUGAAACAUUGCUUUCUUCAAUGUUUUCAUUUGCUGCCACGUUUCUUGAUUCCUAUUUAUUAUUGAAAACCACAUACGCGUGAAUAUUAUCUAUUGUCUAAUCUAAAAGUUGUCUUUGUGAUUAAAGAAACGUAACUUGAGAUCAAAAGAA